ACGCGACCCCASGUCAGGUGGGAUCACCCGCUGAGUUUAAGCAUAUCAAUAAGCGGAGG
rnacentral:rRNA from 1 species